rnacentral:rRNA from 1 species
GAUGAACGCUAGCGGCAGGCUUAAUACAUGCAAGACGAACGGUAACUGUUGUAGCAAUACAACAGCAAGAGUGUCGUACGGGUGCGUAACACGUAUGCAACCUACCUUGUACAGGAGGAUAGCUCGGGGAAACUCGAAUUAACCCUCCAUAAUAUCAUGAGAUGGCAUCAUUUUAUGAAUUAAAACUGAGGUGGUACAAGAUGGGCAUGCGAUUGAUUAGUUAGUUGGCAGUGUAACGGACUACCAAGACGAUGAUCAAGUAGGGGACCUGACGAGGGU